AUGAGGACCGCCACCAGAUGGCGACAAACAAAAGAAAUCUUACCCAGUAGACAUAUAAAACAUAGGGUGAAUUUGGCUAAAGCGGGACACUUCAUAAUAUUAAAAAUACUAUUUUUUUUUCUCUCACCCCUAGGUCAUUUAAUCUAACAGGACACCUUUACUGAAAGCUUAAGAUCUCACUUACACUAUUCACAAACAAAAAUCAAGAAAUACCAAACACAAGUAGAAUCUUUGCUGUCAAAAUAGGGCUAAAAAUCAAGACAGAUGCUUGUAAUUUAAUGAACGUUUCAUUAUAAUGAAUUUUUCCCUGCAAUAUUUAAUGUUUAAUUGACUGGAUGCCGAAACUUCUGCGUUGUAAAAUUUACUUCCGGUGUAAAAAUUUUUUUUUAACAGUGCAGAGAUUACAAACUGCAGUUUUAUCAUCAUUCCACACAAGAGACAUCAUCUUUACACACAGCAUGAAAUCGAUGUGUUUUCGCGUCCUCUUUUGAUUGACAGGCCAUAAUCGACCCUGAUUUUCGGAUGUUUUUUUGAUGGUUUCUGCAUCAUCUAUGGGAUGCAGUGGAGAAGACUGUCGAUGCUCUAGUGUGGAAGAACUUAAGGAUUUUUUGGUUGAAACUUGGAGGAAACUUCCACCUCAACUGUUACAGAAGUUGGCUGAUUCUGUGUCCAGAAGUUAUAUGAAAUUAACAAUGGCAAAUGAAAUACUAAAACACUAACUUAUCUUUAAUGAGGCCACUUCUGAUUGGCUAAUUGGGCCCAAUUUGGACAUUUUCACUUAGGGGUGUACUCACUUUUGUUGGCAGCGGUUUAGACAUUAAUGGCUGUGUGUUGAGUUAUUUUGAGGGGACAGCAAAUUUACACUGUUACACAAGCUGUACACUCACUACUUUACAUUGUAGCAAAGUGUCAUUUCUUCAGUGUUGUCACAUGAAAAGAUAUAAUCAGAUAUUUACAAAAAUAUGAGGGGUGUACUCACUUUUGUGAGAUACUGUAAUUGGACCAUAAUCUGCAUGCACCCAAAAUGUGUAUCCUUGAGGGUACCAAUGGCUAUAUAAUAUGUUAGCUAAACAUUUUCCAAAUGGAAUUUAUCAAUCUUUAAGACAGUCAUAUAUUAUCUCACUAACAACACACUUUCCUGUGUCACACAGAAGAGCCAGAGAGAAAUCCCAUGCUACUGGGAAAACCAGAAAGAGGGUUGCCAAAAACAGGACUGUGCUUUUAAGCACACGAAGCCACAAUCCAUCAGAUGGCAUCCUGUUUUCCCAGCCAAAAGUAAAAACAAAGAUGAUGGGAUUGAGGUCUUUAUCAAAGCAUUUUGAGAAGUUUAAGCUGGAGGACAGUGUGAAGACCCGUAUAAGAACAGCUGGCCAGUGUCACGCGUGAGGUUUUUCCAGACCCAGGGAUGUUUGCUCUGAGAGGAAACUUUUGGAGGAGAUAUUUGAUGGCGUGUCGGAGCUGUUUCCAGAGAACCAAUCCCUGGUCCACUUGAAAAUUGUGGUCUAGUACAAACCCUGGUGUGUUAAUCAUCAUGUGGGGAAUACCUAUACAUCCAUAAAUUUUCUGUAUCGCAUAUUCUACACAGGGCUGAGGGGAGCUUGGAGCCUUUCCCAGGGGACUCGGGGCACAAGGUGGGGACACGCUGUAUGGGUUGCCAGCCUAUCGCAAGGCACAAAUACACACCCUUUCACACACCACAGACAAUUUUGAAAUGCCAAUCAGAGUAAAGCUCAUGUCUUUUGACUGGGGGGGGGGGGGGCAGAGUACCCAGAGGAAACCCCUAAAUCACGGGGGAGAACAUGCAAACUCCAUGCACACAGGGCGGAAGCAAAUGUGCUAAGCACUAAGCCAGGGAAUACAUGUUUCGAAAGGAAUUCUUCUAUGUCAAAGCAGACUUGCAAUCUUUCCCCCAGUCAAGUCCAGAAUCCGUACUGGGUGUGGAGUCAAGUAUUUGGGGCCAAGUGUGUUAAAACACCCUUAGUUAUCUGCAAUGCAAUAAUUCAUUUCGCAUUUGUGUCCUACUUUACAAGGUCUCCUGCUUUUGAGGACCUGACAUAGUCUAUCAGUAACGCAGGCACCUUCUGGUGUGAGACUUUCCAGGAAGAGAAAGAAGCAUCUGCUCAGCUGAUGAGUUAACCUAGAUGAGUGUUAAGGUGACGCAUUGAGUUCAACUACAGGGGUCAUAUUCAUGAAACUGAAGUGAAUCUGAAUCAUUACCAAACACGCCAAAACUAAAUUUAGUUGUGUGUGUGAAGUAGUGACCCUGUAUAUGGUGCACAGUGGCUGAAACAUGAAGCCAAAUUGUUUCGCUUCCCUUCUAGUUUCACCAUCUUUAAGUGAGGAGAUCAGACACCAUCCACUUUAAGAUGGAUAACUACAAGUAAAAUUGCAUUCUUAUAUUUUCUGGAAGUUCCUAUGAUUUGUUCCUGCAGGGGUUAGGGUACAAUACAGUUGCAGUCAAAAUUAUUCAACCCCAUUGCAAAUCAGCUUUAUUGUCAAAAUUUACAAUUUCAGCUGUUUGCAAUGAACAAAUCAAACAAAAGCCAUUGAAAGAGUUCAACACAACGAAUGCUUCAAGUGGUUUCCCCAAAUUCAACUGAAAAUGCAAUAAUGACUUCUCCAGUUUCAAAAAUAUUCAACCCCCUGAAUAGAAUCAGUCACAACAGCACAAAUAUGCAAAACAGGUGUUUUUGUUGUGCUUGAGCUGGAACACAAAUACCUGAACUGGCUAGGGGUAGAAAAUGUAUGAAAUACCUGGACGGGGCAGAAAAAGGAAGCUAUCAAUGACUGCAACCAGAUUUCUGAGAAGGCAGGUUGUGAAAAACCCUCGAGUGACUGCAAAAGACCUGCAGCAAGAUUUGGUGACAACAGGUACCGAGGUUUCAGUGAGUACAGUAAGACGUAUACUAAACGCAGAAGGUUCCCAUGCCAGAACUCCAAGAUGUACACCAUUACCGACCCAAAAGCAUAAGAAAAGGUGGCUCAAAAUCAUAUAAAUAAGACACACAAGUUUUGGGAUUCUGUUCUGUGGAGCGAUGAAACAAACCUGGAACUUUUUGGCAUGAUGGAUCAGCGGUAUGUCUGGAGGAAGAACAAUGAAGAAAGAACACUAUGUCCACAGUCAAGCAUGGUGGUGGCUCGGUGAUGCUCUGGGGCUGCUUUGCAUCCUCUGGCACUGGAAACCUGCAGCGUGUGGAAGGCAAGAUGGAUUCAUUGAAGUAUCAGGAAAUCCUCGGAGAAAACGUCAUGCCGUCCGUGAGGAAGCGGAAGCUUGGGUGUCAUAGGAUCUUCCAACAAGACAAUGAUCCCAAGCAUACCUCAAAUUCCACCAAGGCUUGGUUGCAGAAGAAGUCCUGGAAGAUUCUACAGGGCCAUCACAGUCACCUGACUUGAACCCCAUAGAAAAUCUCUGGUGGGAUUUGAAGAAGGCGGUUGCAGCACGCAAACCCAAGAAUAUUACUGACCUGGAGGCCAGUGCUCAUGAGGAACGGGUUAAGAUUCCUCAGGAACGCGGCCAGAAGCUCUGCAUCUCAUUUGCAGCAGGUCAUAACAGAAAAAGGAUGAUCUACUAAGUACUAAAGAUGCUUGCCAUGAAGGGGUUGAAUAAUUUUGAGACUGGAGAAAUCAUUACAAGUUGCAUUUUCAGUUGAAUUUGGGGAAACCACUUGAAGCAUUCUUUGUGUUGAACUCUUUCAGUGGCUUUUGUUUGAUUUGUUCAUUGCAAACAGCUGAAAGUCUGUACAUUUUUACAAUAAACCUGAAUUGCAAUGGGGGUUGAAUAAUUUUGAUUGCAACUGUAUAUAGAAUUGUCUCAAAACCACUAUCUGAGCAUCAGCUCUCAGUGACUGUAGCAGUGUUUGUCAUUAAAAAAAAACUAAAUGAUUAUGAUUUGUGGAUUUUUUUUGUCAUGCACUGAAGCUAGUCUAACUGACAGAAAUUUUCUUUUGUAACUCAGUCUCUUAACAUUUUGUGAAGAC